AUUUGCAUCACCACAUUUGCCUCGCACAUUUAAACAUGUGACGCAAUUGACAGUUCUAAGCUUUAAAAUUAGUCAUUUGCGUCGCAGAAUUAUUAAUCUGCGACGCAAAUGACUCUAAAAUGUUCUCAGAGUCAUUUGCGUCGCAGAUUAGUAAUAAUGCGACGCAAAAUAUUACCUCCUUUGCGUCGCAGAAUUACUAAUCUGCGACGCAAAUGACUCUUUAAGUCACCUGCGUCGCAGAUUAGUAAUUCUGCGACGCAGAGGAGGUAAAAAAAAUUCGGAAGUUUUUAAUUAUUCCUCACCCACGCGUACUGCACCCUAAUUUGUCGAAGAACAAAACAAACAGGCGCAGCUACCUUCACGACUUCACCCUCAUCCUCCAUCGAUCUUCGAUCUUCUUCACCCUCAUCCUCCAUCGAUCUUCUUCACCCUACACCAGGCGCAGCUACAUUUAGAGAGAGUUUCGCUGGAACCGUAGGCCACAGCCGCCGCCGCCGCCUCCAUUGGAGAAUGCCCACUGAAUAGGAAUCGAUCCCUGUCUCCAUCAGUGGUUUGGCUGAAUUGAGUCUCGUUUGGGAGUAAGAAGAUUUACUCCGAUGGCGAAUAUGCCGGAGAAAUUGAACCAGUGUAAGCUUGAUGCUCGCCGUGAACAAUGCCUUUCGCAAGGUCCUGCAUUCAUUUUCUUUUCUUUUUUUGAUUUUUACAGUUCUGUAUUUUUCUUGCAUAAAUUAAAUUGGAAUCUUGCAUCCACUAAUUAUCUAGAGCUUGCUCUCUUUUUUUCAUUCACAAUGAAUUUCCUGGGCCCUUUGAUUGUAUUGGCAUAUCUUUCCUUUUAUAUAUUGUGACUGUCAGGAAGACGUAGGAUAACCUUGGUUAUUAUGGGUGCUUCAUAUGUAACCAUAUCUAACUUGGAUGUUGGAUAACCUUUAUUUUUGGUUGUUUCUGGUUGGUAGUCUUUGUGAUGAUCAGUUGGGAAGUGUAUAUAUGCCUGCUUGCUAUGGUUGUUUUAUUAUUAAUGAAACUUGCAAGUGUCCUGAGGUUUGUGAUGAUCAGUUGGGAAGUUGUUUAUUCUAAUGAAACAGAGAGCAUGUUGCGUAGGUUGUACUAUGGCUAUCAUGAAGAAUGUUUUAAGGUGUCUUUCGGAUCUUUUACCUGUUUGCUGUUGCUUUUCUGCUGAUCUACCAGUCACUUUUCCAUCUAUUUCACCACCUUAGCUGCAAUUUUCUUCGAUGGAGGUUGUAGGAGUUGAAAUUCUCUCUCUGACAGAACUAUUAGCCAUUUCUUGGAUUGGAUUUGGCUGUUGAUGAAAUGACUCUGCAUCAUAUUGUAGGAUUGCAUUAAGUGCUUCUUGUACUAACUUUAUGGCUGCAGUCUGUUGCAGUCCAAGUUUCUCUGUCUUUGCAACUUGGUCAUCAACUUCCUAGAGAUUGUUGCUGUUUUUACUCAGCUCCAUAUUCAAGUUACUCAUCUCAUGGCUAUUGUUUCCAUCUCCACUUUCUUUUUCAUCUGCUUGAAUGAUAUCUUGGGCCUCA